rnacentral:lncRNA from 1 species
CCCCUUGAGGUUGGAGUCGUGGGCGGAGCCCGGCUCCCGUAGGAGUCCGGUCGGAGCCCUCCUGGAGCUAAUUCUGCUGAGGACUUCGGCCGUGGGUAUUUUGUACCCAACACUAGUCCCCCUACUUCCGAAUUUGAAUUUUGAAUGAAGGAAGUACAGAGAGAUGGGCAUGGCCGAAGUUAUUCCCUCGAAUCCUGUGCAUAACCGCCCUG